rnacentral:rRNA from 1 species
UACGAAGGGGGCUAGCGUUGCUCGGAAUUACUGGGCGUAAAGGGCGCGUAGGCGGAUAGUUUAGUCAGAGGUAAAAGCCCAGGGCUCAACCUUGGAACUGCCUUUGAUACUGGCUAUCUUGAGUUCGGGAGAGGUGAGUGGAAUGCCGAGUGUAGAGGUGAAAUUCGUAGAUAUUCGGCGGAACACCAGUGGCGAAGGCGACUCACUGGCCCGAUACUGACGCUGAGGCGCGAAAGCGUGGGGAGCGAACAGG